rnacentral:rRNA from 1 species
ACGAACGCUGGCGGCGUGCUUAACACAUGCCAGUCGCACGGAAAGGCCCUGCUUUUGUGGGGUGCUCGAGUGGCGAACGGGUGAGUAACACGUGAGUAACCUGCCCUUGACUUUGGGAUAACUUCAGGAAACUGGGGCUAAUACCGGAUAGGAGCUCCUGCUGCAUGGUGGGGGUUGGAAAGUUUCGGCGGUUGGGGAUGGACUCGCGGCUUAUCAGCUUGUUGGUGGGGUAGUGGCUUACCAAGGCUUUGACGGGUAGCCGGCCUGAGAGGGUGACCGGCCACAUUGGGACUGAGAUACGGCCCAGACUCCUACGGGAGGCAGCAGUGGGGAAUAUUGCACAAUGGGCGGAAGCCUGAUGCAGCAACGCCGCGUGCGGGAUGACAGCCUUCGGGUUGUAAACCGCUUUCGCCUGUGACGAAGCGUGAGUGACGGUAAUGGGUAAAGAAGCACCGGCUAACUACGUG